AUUGUGAGCAGCAAAACCUGUGCGACUGCAUCUGACAUCGCCAGGAUGGGGGCCCAACCAAGAUCCCCAGAGACGUGAAGAUGCAUGGAAUAACACGUGAAGAGAGGAAACUUCGGGCCUGUGGUCAAAAUGUGUUCACCACGGCAGACAACUGCUUGGGUGACAGCUUUGGCCUCUGGAUGAAUUCUCCUUGGCGAGCAAUCGUCCCACCUGUAGGUGCCUUCAUGAUCGUCUGUGUGCAGGGCACCAAGCAGGCCAUCUAAAGCCACUAAUCUCAAAGAGAGCUUACCCAGGGACAGGACUUUCCAAAAGGAAAGGAGCACAAUAGAAGAGAAUGGCUGCUGCUAAGUUCCAUCCAACAGUGGCCUCUUUUGAAAAGUCGUCCUCAUCCACAGAUGGUCAACAUUAUGAUGGAAUUUUGUUUUCCUCUCAUGUGAAUUUGGAGCUGAUAGAUGCUUCUCAGCUCCUUGCUGGGACCUCACUGACAAACCCGCUGGCCCCAGAACUACUUGUGACAUCAGGAUGACGCUUGGUACAAGCCAGGCACUGAGCUGGGCAUUGAGGAUGAAGAGAUGAAACACAAUUCUAGCAUCUAAAUAGACCUUGGUUGGAAGUUGAGUUCCAGAGUGGGAUAUCAGACUCAAGGCCCAGACUUCACUUCUGGUCUCCUGACUUCCAAGUGAACAGUGUUGCAGCUUCCCUGACUGCAGUUAUAGGAGAAGACAGGGAGGAGAUAAAGAUGAGAGUGCCUCGGGAAGAGCAGGGAUGGAGGAGACAACCUGAGUCUUCUGAUCCAAAGGAGUGUGAAGAUGGAGUGACAUUGAGAGAACUGCAGAAGAAAGGGACUUGGCAUUUAUGGAGCAUACACCUGUACCAUCAUAUCAAAAUGCAACACAGCUAUUGCCUCUUGGAACAUUAUAAUAGAAUGGGGAAAUCAAGUAUAUAAAGAGUCAUGUGAAAUUGGCAAGACAAGCAUCAAUUUACAGAGGAGGAAACUGAGGUCCAGAGAGAUCAAUUAAACUGUCUAAAGUCACAUGGCCUGACAUAAAAGUAGUGGAGAGUCAAACUCAGGGCUAUGUACCUGCGGUGGUGGACUUCAUCUUUCCAAUCCUACUUCCUUAUCUGUGAAGUGGGCAAACCAAUCAUUUUUACCCCAGAGAGCUGUGAAGAACCUGUAUCAGUUAUACAGAAAGUUAAAGAACUUAUCGCAGUGCCUGGAAGCCAGGAUGUGGAGCCAGGAGAGAAGGGGCAUUCAAAGGGCCUGGGAGACCCUUGGUGAAAACAAUCAGUUGGUUUCAACAUCCCAGAGAGAUUCUCAAUCAGGUAGCUCACAGAGACCAAAGUUGGCACACAGCACUCUCCUAACACUAAAGACUCUACAACUCCUUCUUCAUGGGAUGUGUGAAAGCACAGAGAGAUGGAGACAUGGCUGCUUGGAAAUUGUCCUUAAAGGAACCACAGGCAAGCGGGAGGUAGAAAUCAAAACCAGGGUGGCUGCCACAGGCGAUGAAGCUAGAGUGAAAGAGGUUGGCUGAGGUUAAACCAAAGAACAGUCCAGAAGAUGGGAGAAUCCCAACAAAUUUUCAGUCAGUAUUUCCCAAAGUGGGUUCCUGAAAAUUGUUCCUUUAGAAAAAGCAUCAUAGUCAAGCACAUUUAGGAAACUUUCCUUAAUUCCCCUCUCUUUGAAAUUCACAAGCCCCUUUGACAUAUUAAAGUUUCUGUAAAGUCAGUGAAUAAAGAAACCUGUUUACAUUUG
rnacentral:lncRNA from 10 species